UACGAAGGGGGCUAGCGUUGCUCGGAAUGACUGGGCGUAAAGGGCGCGUAGGCGGUCGUGACAAGUCACUUGUGAAAUCUCCGGGCUUAACUCGGAACGGUCAAGUGAUACUGUCGGACUAGAGUACAGAAGGGGCAACUGGAAUUCUCGGUGUAGCGGUGAAAUGCGUAGAUAUCGAGAGGAACACCUGCGGCGAAGGCGGGUUGCUGGGCUGAUACUGACGCUGAGGCGCGAAAGCCAGGGGAGCGAACGGG
rnacentral:rRNA from 1 species